GAGGUCAGUGAGCGGAUGUGACAUGUGAGUUGAGUCACAAAGAUAUCUAGGAGGGUUUUGAGGCAGUCUACAGUUAGUCCAGGCAUAAGGAACUGCAGUUGUAGAAAUAAAAGAGUGGUGUUUUUAGCUGGGUCAGGAAUUUGAAGGACUUGGAAGAUGAGGCACCUGGGGGAGUAGGGGUCGAAGUUUGAGAGAAGACUGGAACACUGAAGAUUUGAGAAAAUAAAUUAGAAGUUUGCUUCCGAAAGAUAACUCUGGCUAGACUCAGAUCGGAGGAGCCCUGGCUUUUGAAUGAAAGUAGGAAAGGAAGUUACACUGAAGAAAUGAGCCCCCAGAUGCUUGACCUCUGUCAGCCACUUGUAGGAUUUCAGCUAUUGGAAGGUUCCAGAAUUGGUGCCCAUACUCUGACCUUGCCUGGCCACCAUUCCUUUGCUUGUCAAGAGAGCUUGGUCACCAUGUGCCAUGGCCAAAAUAAUGGUGGUCCUUCCCAUAAGCCAUCUUCAGACUUCCAACUGACAGUGUCUGUCUAGAAGAAAGAAUGGGUUCUUUACUGCUUUACAAUCUAGCACAUUUACUGCACUGCAUGAUCUAAAAUAUCAAAUGAACUCUAUCUGUAAAGUUUUAAAAAAUAUAAAUGGACAAAAUAGCAAAGGGUGGUUUGGGGGCCCAUUCACACUAAGACUAUUGUUCUUGCCAUUAAUGUGUUUAAGGAGACUGUCCAUAUAUUGCAAAACAUUGUGCCAAUUUCCCUUCACUUCUGAAGUUGUAAAACUCAACCUUAUUACCUAAAUAGUUGUCCAGAGAAAGCAAGAAGGGAGCUACUUUAACUCCUGUUCAGUGACUGAGUGACACAGAGAGGCAUGAGACAAACCUUUUUGCUUCCAGAUCAGCUCCUCCAUCACCUCCCCCUUUUUUGGUCAUACCAAUGAGCAGAAAUGAAUCUACCCCAUGUGGUCAUUGCAGGAUUUAUCUGGGCAUUUGCUGAACCUGCUCGCAAUUUAUUUUUAUUUCUUCCGAUAGACAUGGGUUUGGCACGGGAGAGUGAAUUCUUUCUGAAACAGCAGAUGUGCCUGGUACACUCGUUUGCUAUAACCAUUUGUGCUGUGGUUGAAAAAAAAAUUUUUUUUAAGAGUGCAGAAUUGUUGAGGGGGGAGGGUUAAAAAACCAGAACCAUUUUAGCGAUUAUGCAAAGUUAGAAUGUGAGUAAUUUUGCUGCAGUUAGUCAUUAUGUGCUUUCAUAGCUUGUUUUACAAGGAUAAAGGAAUACGUACAGGUUUGGUGAAUAGAGCUCUUAUUUGUCUCUAGUAGUCGCCUUUUAUAAAAACAUUUUCCACCCUUUCUCCUACUAUGUGGCAAAAGUGCUCUCUCCUUCGAAAUUAUACCCUUCUGUGAUUCAGCCCUUUUAUCCAUCCACAGUAAGUGGACAAACAGCCUCCAUUUCUGCGAACAAAUAUGUUAGGGGAAGAGAAACUUCAUUUUCUCAUAUAAUAGAUAAUGCAGAUGAUGCAGAUUCAAAUAAUAAGAAUAUAGUGAUCAUUUUAAAAAAGCAUGUUUUCUGCAAAAGGGAGGGAAAAAUACUGAGCAAACAUCUAGUGACUGUGCUAUGAGCCUAAUGUGCUGUAAAUAUAGUGUCCUUGCAGCAUUUUAUUUGAAAUAUUUGAUAGGACUUAGCAGAUUUUUGCUCACCGUAUUGUCUGAGGAUUGUAACGCACCACCUAUUCUUUUUUUUUUUUUGCUUUGCUUUCGGUCACCCAAACUCCCUUGGACAUAUGUGAACGAAGGUCUGUUUGUUUCCACUGAAGCAAAUAUAGUCACUUGCUCACACUGGUGGCUUCCCUCAGUGAAUUCCACUACUAUUUUGGAAACUCCUGUAUGAAAACACAGCAACCCAACCUGUCCCCACUGAGCCUUGUGGGUGAUUUCCACGCACGGCUGCCCAGUGUCUAUGUACUGAGGUUCACUUUUUGAUAAAAAACAAAACUGGGUUUUGUAGCCUUUUGGUAGGCUUGUUACUAAGUCUGGGCAUUCUGGUGUAAUGGCAGGAAUGCUGAUAUUGGAGUCCCAACAGUGGUCUUAGAAAAUCUGAAUUCUAAUUCUGAUCGCUCAAGGCUUUAUCACCUUGGAUGAAUCAUUCCUAAGCCUAGUGUCCUUGAGGAGAAGGUAGAAAUUUAUGACCUAUAAAUUCCUUUCAGCUCUAAUACUCUGUGAUUCUGUAAAGAAUAUUUAGUGAUGUACAAAUAAGUCAACUUUAUUUUUUCUUUCUCAAAAAUUCCUUCGUGUCUACAUCUGUACCAGAUAACUCUCUUCAGGCUGCUUUUCAAAGUUGGCCACAUUUUAACUUCACCCCGACAGGCAAAUUUCAGUAAUGAGAAACCCCUGUAGGACUUGAGAGAAGGGAUCACAUUCUUUUACAUUUUUUGUCUCUUGAUGGCUUCCGAGUAGCAAUAAUAGACUGGAAUGGUUGGUUCUAUUGUAGUAAUUGGUUGUAAACAAGAGCUGUUGAACCAAGCUCACCAUAUUUCCUGUUACCUAUGGCUAAGAAACCUAAAAUGCAUAAAGUAACUCAGAAUACUUGAAAAUACUUGAAAAAUUGGAUUGAAUUACACAACCCUCUAUCAUGCUUGAAUACUUCUUGGAUAAAUAAUUACAGGUUUGGCUUCACAAAGCUGAUGGGGAAAGUAAAAUAGUGUGGAGGGGUGAUCAUUUAGCCAACUACUGCUAUUCUUGUUUUAUUUCAUUGAAUAUCUCUUUGUAGAUUUUGUCAAUAAUACUUUUUUAAAAUGAUUUCAUUCACUGAAUAAAUACAUAUGGAGUGUGUUUGCUGAACUCUCAGCAUAUCCCUUAUGGCAGAAAGCGAUGUAGAACUGAA